rnacentral:rRNA from 1 species
GACGAACGCUGGCGGCGUGCCUAAUACAUGCAAGUAGAACGCUGAAGAGAGGAGCUUACUCUUCUUGGAUGAGUUGCGAACGGGUGAGUAACGCGUAGGUAACCUGCCUUGUAGCGGGGGAUAACUAUGGAAACGAUAGCUAAUACCGCAUAACAAUGGAUGAAACAUGUCAUUUAUUUGAAAGGGGCAAUUGCUCCACUACAAGAUGGACCUGCGUUGUAUUAGCUAGUAGGUGAGGUAAUGGUUCACCUAGGCGACGAUACAUAGCCGACCUGAGAGGGUGAUCGGCCACACUGGGACUGAGACACGGCCCAGACUCCUACGGGAGGCAGCAGUAGGGAAUCUUCGGCAAUGGGGGCAACCCUGACCGAGCAACGCCGCGUGAGUGAAGAAGGUUUUCGGAUCGUAAAGCUCUGUUGUAAGUCAAGAACGGGUGUGAGAGUGGAAAGUUCACACUGUGACGGUAGCUUACCAGAAAGGGACGGCUAACUACGUG